CAAUCAAAAUAAAACACACGUUGAAUUGUCCGAAUUAUAUUUUUGAGUGCACGUGUUAUGGUCUAUUUAAAGAAGAAGUGAGGUAUCGGUUUAUUAGUGUUAACAGUAAGUUGUUGAAAAUCAGAAGAAAACAAAGAAAUGGAGAAGUUGAUGGAAGAGGUUUCCAGAAUUGAAACAAAAUGCGCAGAGAUUGAGAGAGAAAUGGGUGCUUUUAGAUAUUUUCUAAACUCGGUGCCUAGAGGUGAUCCGUAUAAUCAGCGGUGUUUCAGAUGGCACACCAUGAAAUUCGAAGCACUCC
rnacentral:lncRNA from 1 species